GCGCGCUACACUGACAGAGCCAACGAGUUCAUCACCUUGUCCGAAAGGUCUGGGUAAUCUUGUGAAACUCU
rnacentral:rRNA from 1 species